rnacentral:rRNA from 2 species
GACGAACGCUGGCGGCGUGCUUAAUACAUGCAAGUCGAGCGAGGUUACUGUUUUGGAUCCCUUCGGGGUGAAGAAGCUUUAACCUAGCGGCGGACGGGUGAGUAACGCGUGGGUAACCUACCCCAAAGUCCGGGAUAACAGCGGGAAACCGCUGCUAAUACCGGAUGCCUUUACCUUGGGGCAUCUUGAGGUAAAGAAAGGCAACGCUUUGGGAUGGGCCCGCGUCCCAUUAGCUAGUUGGUGAGGUAACGGCUCACCAAGGCGACGAUGGGUAGCCGGCCUGAGAGGGUGGACGGCCACACUGGGACUGAGACACGGCCCAGACUCCUACGGGAGGCAGCAGUAGGGAAUAUUGCGCAAUGGACGGAAGUCUGACGCAGCGACGCCGCGUGAGCGAUGAAGGUCUUCGGAUCGUAAAGCUCUGUCCUUGGGGAAGAAGGCGAAAGCUUGACGGUACCCAAGAAGAAAGCCCCGGCUAACUACGUGCCAGCAGCCGCGGUAAUACGUAGGGGGCGAGCGUUGUCCGGAAUUACUGGGCGUAAAGGGUGCGUAGGCGGCCCUUUAAGUCGGAUGUGAAAGCCCGCGGCUUAACCGCGGAAUGGCAUUCGAAACUGGAGGGCUUGAGUGUCGGAGAGGGUAGUGGAAUUCCCAGUGUAGCGGUGAAAUGCGUAGAUAUUGGGAGGAACACCAGUGGCGAAGGCGACUACCUGGACGAUAACUGACGCUGAGGCACGAAAGCUAGGGGAGCAAACAGG